rnacentral:rRNA from 1 species
AACGAACGCUGGCGGCAUGCCUAACACAUGCAAGUCGAACGAUGCCUUCGGGCAUAGUGGCGCACGGGUGCGUAACGCGUGGGAAUCUGCCUUUCGGUUCGGAAUAACUCAGGGAAACUUGAGCUAAUACCGGAUAACGUCGCAAGACCAAAGAUUUAUCACCGAAAGAUGAGCCCGCGUAGGAUUAGCUAGUUGGUGAGGUAAAGGCUCACCAAGGCGACGAUCCUUAGCUGGUCUGAGAGGAUGAUCAGCCACACUGGGACUGAGACACGGCCCAGACUCCUACGGGAAGCAGCAGUGGGGAAUAUUGGACAAUGGGCGAAAGCCUGAUCCAGCAAUGCCGCGUGAGUGAUGAAGGCCUUAGGGUUGUAAAGCUCUUUUAACCGGGAAGAUAAUGACGGUACCGGGAGAAUAAGCCCCGGCUAACUCCGUG